rnacentral:rRNA from 1 species
UGAGGAAUAUUGGUCAAUGGGCGAAAGCCUGAACCAGCCAAGUCGCGUGAGGGAAUAAGGCCCUACGGGUCGUAAACCUCUUUUGUCAGGGAGCAAAGCCAAGGACGUGUCCUUGGAAGGAGAGUACCUGAAGAAAAAGCAUCGGCUAACUCCGUGCCAGCAGCCGCGGUAAUACGGAGGAUGCGAGCGUUAUCCGGAUUUAUUGGGUUUAAAGGGUGCGUAGGCGGAAAGAUAAGUCAGCGGUAAAAUAGCGGGGCUCAACCUCGUCGAGCCGUUGAAACUGUUUUUCUUGAGUGAGCGAGAAGUAUGCGGAAUGCGUGGUGUAGCGGUGAAAUGCAUAGAUAUCACGCAGAACCCCGAUUGCGAAGGCAGCAUACCGGCGCUCAACUGACGCUGAGGCACGAAAGUGCGGGGAUCGAACAGG